rnacentral:rRNA from 1 species
UACGUAGGGUGCGAGCGUUAAUCGGAAUUACUGGGCGUAAAGCGUGCGCAGGCGGUUCGUUGUGUCGGCGGUGAAAGCCCCGGGCUCAACCUGGGAAUGGCCGUUGAAACUGGCGAACUGGAGUGUGGCAGAGGGGGGUGGAAUUCCGCGUGUAGCAGUGAAAUGCGUAGAGAUGCGGAGGAACACCGAUGGCGAAGGCAGCCCCCUGGGCUAACACUGACGCUCAGGCACGAAGCGUGGGGAGCAAACAGG